CUGAUGAUACUGAAGGGUUAAAGAGGAAAUGGGAGAGGCCGUGGAUUCCCAGAUAAAAUAUGAGGGGAGUUUGUGCUCUGAGAGAGGCUCUGUCCUUGUCCCAGGUACAAAAGGCCUUGAAUCAGUGGAAUGCCUCAGGUGGAGAUCCAGGGGGAUGGAUCUGCUCCCUGCCUCCUGGAUUUUUUCCCUGCUUGCUGUCAGUGGAUGUGCUAAGUGCCCAUAAGCUGCCUCCCUUCAUCUCCUUAGGCACAUGGAAAGGACCACAUUGUCCAGAGCUAGGAGAUGAAAAUUCCCCAGGAAAUCAGGAUUCUCUCCUGGGAAAGAUGGAUAAACCUCAUGGUUGGAAUAUUUCCCACAUCCUGCUAGAUCUCUGCUAAUCAGAAAAGAAAAGAGAUCCUCUGCUCAGAAGGGAAUAAAGACAUCCUGAGGGAUAAUCCAGCAGAGCCACGAGCCCUCUGCCACCUCACAGGAUUUGCAGUUCUGUGGGGAGCUAAACCUCAGGAAAAAGAGCAAUUUUAGUCUUCCUGGAUGGCCUGAAGGUAACAAUGCUGCCCUGUGCCAGAGCAGCUGCAGGGAUGGGAGCACAUUUCUCAGUUAUUGGAGCAGGGAAUUGUGCUGGGAUUCCUGGGUUCUUCCCCCAGCUCUGCCUUUGAUUUGUGGUGUGUGCAGACCCCUUAAUUUGUUUCUGUUUUCCCCAUCUGUGAAACUGAGAUAAGAUCACGGGGGAAUUGUAAAGUGUGCUUCAUUAAUGUUUAUUAGACAGGGGGAAAUCCUUCAAUGAAUGGCUCUGUA